UACAGAGGUCCCAAGCGUUGUUCGGAUUCAUUGGGCGUAAAGGGUGCGUAGGCGGCUCGGUAAGUCGGGUGUGAAAUCUCGGGGCUUAACUCCGAAACUGCAUUCGAUACUGCCGUGCUUGAGGACUGGAGAGGAGACUGGAAUUUACGGUGUAGCGGUGAAAUGCGUAGAUAUCGUAAGGAAGACCAGUGGCGAAGGCGGGUCUCUGGACAGUUCCUGACGCUGAGGCGCGAAGGCCAGGGGAGCAAACGGG
rnacentral:rRNA from 1 species